AUUGAACGCUGGCGGAAUGCUUUGCACAUGCAAGUCGAACGGCAGCACGGACUUCGGUCUGGUGGCGAGUGGCGAACGGGUGAGUAAUGUAUCGGAACGUGCCCAGCCGUGGGGGAUAACGUAGUGAAAAUUACGCUAAUACCGCAUACGAUCUAUGGAUGAAAGCGGGGGAUCGCAAGACCUCGCGCGAUUGGAGCGGCCGAUAUCAGAUUAGGUAGUUGGUGGGGUAAAGGCCCACCAAGCCAACGAUCUGUAGCUGGUCUGAGAGGACGGCCAGCCACACUGGAACUGAGACACGGUCCAGACUCCUACGGGAGGCAGCAGUGGGGAAUUUUGGACAAUGGGCGAAAGCCUGAUCCAGCCAUUCCGCGUGCAGGAUGAAGGCCCUCGGGUUGUAAACUGCUUUUGUACAGAACGAAAAGGUUUCUACUAAUACUAGGAGCUCAUGACGGUACUGUAAGAAUAAGCACCGGCUAACUACGUGCCAGCCGCCGCUGUAA
rnacentral:rRNA from 1 species